CUUGUCAAACACUGAUCCCAUGCUGUGCGCCGAUUUCGCACAUUGCUCUGCAGAGUGAUAUAUGACACAAACAGACAUUUUAAUGCACUUUACAAAACAUUUAUUUUAUUUAUUACUUGGAAAUUACUGCUAUACGCGCUUUGCGAUCACUAUGUUACACGCAUAUGUUUUCCGUUCUUAUGCAACAAAUGUUUUUCGUCAAUGUUAAAAGGAUGUUUAACUCGCGUACGGUAGUUUGUCGAAUCGGAUAGUUGGAGUAAUCAAGGCCCAACUCUUACAUGAAGUGGGUGAACCACUGAUUUGUUUACAGUUUUGAGACCACCGGCGAGGCAUUGGCGGCAACGUACGUUGAUCAACGAGAAAUUUAACGCGCGCUUCACUGGUCAUCAAUCAUGUAGUUCAACAUCUUUUUUUGUAUUUGUACAUUUCGUAUCGAACCGAAAUCUAUGCUGUACGUUCACUUCACGCCUUAGCCUUACGGGGGUAUGAGCCAUUGCACCUGCCUCUGCAGUGCUACCGGAAUCGGCCCACUGGGUUUUUUGUCGAUACGAACGACGCGAUUCAAAUCCAGGGAUCCUAGACAUAAAGAACUUUGUUGUAAUAAUUCUUUUUCUUGUGCCCAUGAAAAAGAAAACGAGUUGCUGCCCAGGAGAGUACGCAGCAUAUGUUGUUUUUGUCUUUCUUCUAAAAUAAAUGGAAGAGGAAGACGCGCUGCUCGGAUCUCUAGUUCAUGCCUAUUGUCCUUCACCGGCCUCCAAGCGUGGUCAAACGGAUUCGCCUUUCCGACACUCCAAGAGGACGUGGAGGAGGGUCAGCCUCUCACCACAUCGAGCACAGGUUGGCGGUUCAUUUCCAGUUUUCGUUGUCCGCCCAGUUCUACGCAAAGAUCUGGGACCAGACCUUUUUUUCUUGUGAAGAGAACAAAAGAACUUUUGUGGUGGUUGAUUUUAAAUCCAUUUUCGUCUGCCCACUUGGACACCUUGUUUAAGCCCCGCUGUACCUGUCUUUCGCACACUGUAAGGUUGCAGGAUUUGAAACGUAUCUGUAUAUCGUCUACGUAGACGGAAUAAAAAAUGGCCGGUGGCAGUGAA